rnacentral:lncRNA from 1 species
AGGAAUGAAAAAGCAUAAAGAAUAUGCAUUGAUACAUGUACACAUAUGGUUUAAGUAAACAUUACAAAAACAUGUAUUGUUUAAACUGUCAAAUUAGUUAAACAACUUGUCAGUCAGUAGUCAAAAUUAGCCCUAAGAGGAUGACUUUAGCUUGUUCAGUUACUUUGUACUUUUGCAUGUACUUAAUUUCACAAAUUAGGUAGUGCAGAUGAAUUUGCAUGUAUUUUGAUAUUACUGUAACAAAUCAUUAAACUACAUUUUUAUGCCCCCGCGACAAUGUCAGAAUUAAAGUUAUUUAUUAUUUCGGGAUGCUGGUUUCCGAACUGCUGC